UUCCUACGGGCGGCUGCAGUGGGGAAUAUUGCACAAUGGGCGCAAGCCUGAUGCAGCGACGCCGCGUGGAGGAUGACGGCCUUCGGGUUGUAAACUCCUUUCAGCAGGGAAGAAGCGCAAGUGACGGUACCUGCAGAAGAAGCGCCGGCUAACUACGUGCCAGCAGCCGCGGUAAUACGUAGGGCGCAAGCGUUGUCCGGAAUUAUUGGGCGUAAAGAGCUCGUAGGCGGUGUGUCGCGUCUGCUGUGAAAACUCGAGGCUCAACCUUGGGCUUGCAGUGGGUACGGGCACACUAGAGUGCGGUAGGGGUGACUGGAAUUCCUGGUGUAGCGGUGGAAUGCGCAGAUAUCAGGAGGAACACCGAUGGCGAAGGCAGGUCACUGGGCCGCAACUGACGCUGAGGAGCGAAAGCAUGGGGAGCGAACAGGAUUAGAUACCCGGGUAGUC
rnacentral:rRNA from 1 species